UUGAUGUUUACGCAGAUUCAGCAGCUGCGUCGUUCUGAACAUUGUGUAGAGUUUAAUUUCCGAGUACACUUUUGUGCAUUCCCUAGAAAGCCCAUAAUUUAUUACUUUUCUUUUUUCUUUCUACUACAUGUAUUUUUACUGCUGCUUGUAAACAAAAGCGCAGCUACAACCUCACACAAUGUUCUGAUAUCGGAACCCUUGAGACGCGUGCAUGUAUAAAUAAAUAAAUAAAUAAAUAAAUAAAUAAACAAAUAAAUAAAUAAAUAAAUAAAUAAAAGAUAAGUCUCUAAAGAAAUAAAACCGUUCCCAACUGCACGCGCAAACGGCUAUAAUGUUUUCGGUCAGAUGUGUUCAACUCGGGUCGGCGCGCGAUUUUGCGCAGUCUGCUCCAAACUCUGGCCCAUUUCGAGCGACAGAAACGAAGACGCACAUUACGAAUAAAGAUUGUCGCCGUCGCGUCAUAAUCGUCAAGCCACCUUCUCCACAGCGUCAUCGUCAUCACACGACGAAGAAAGAGAAAGCUUUGCCCACCACUGCCAUUCGAGAUUGAACGCAUGCCUUUUGGCCAACGUGCAAUUGCAGCGGGGACUGCGCCCGUAGUCCGGAGGCCACAUCUGGCAGCACUGCAGCGGUCGAAGACGCCAUUGCGCGCAGCGCAGAGAAGUUGCUCGUGAGAAGAAGGCUUCUGUGGUGAGGGCCUGCUGUACGGUGAAGUGUAGAGGUUGCCGACGAAUCGUCGACGAAGAAGAAGAUCGGCGGUGCGCCGAACAGGUCGAUUUCUGUGACGGAAGCUUGAGUCGGCGACGACCCGCGGGAGAGGGCCCUGGUACGGCCAAGGACAACCGAGCUAAAGAAACAAGUGGACGUGCCCCGAGAACAGCUGUGAAGGGUACGCGCAGCGCAAAGAAGACGUCCACCUCGAGAUGCAUUGCCGAGCCAUCCGGUGUUCCUGGAGGGAUCGAGGGUAUCACUCCUGGAACAGCGGCGACGGGAUGGUGCACUGGUGCCCGCCGCCAAGGCACGCCAGUCAGCCAGCGGAUGCCCAGGACAGUGCCGCGGACUUCGGGGGGGCUACGGGGGUCACCUCGAACACGGCGACCGGCGCUGGAGCAACGCAUCACGAACGCACGUCGACGGGCCCGAACGCGGGCGGCUCCAGGGGCAGGAAACGUUGCAGCUGCGGCAGUUCGGCGCCGUGCAACUUAGGUCACCGUGCUCCCGACACGAAAGACGGUGCAAGCUCCUCAAAGACACCCGCGCCUCGGAUCACGGAGACCUCGCCAGCGGAAGGCCCAUCAGGGGCUUUGGGCCCAUCCUUCGUGCUCCCGCCGAUGAUGCCCUCGCCCGAGGGUUGGUACGGCGGAGAGAACGGGGAGGGAGGGUACGCCCGUUUCCUCACCGACUGGAUGAUGCGCGACGCCCAGAGGCACUGUGAACUGGAGUCGCGCCAUAGGCGCCAUCAUUCCGGCGACGCCGACUGUUCCAUGAGCGACGUCGAUUAGGCGGGUUGUGGCCGUUGCAGAAGCCGGCUGGCAAGACGCCCGCCACGUGUACGAUUAUCGAAUAGCGUUUUUAUGAAAAUAAACAACAUCAUACUUAUAUGU